rnacentral:rRNA from 1 species
AAAAAUUCCACUUUCCGUAGCUGAACCUUGCGGAGGGAUCAUCAUAGAAGUUUUCUAAACUCCCCAACCCCAUGUGAACUUACCUUUUGUUGCCUCGGGCAGAAGUUAUAGGUCUUCUUAUAGCUGCUGCCGGUGGACCAUUAAACUCUUGUUAUUUUUAUGUAAUCUGAGCGUCCUUAUUUUAAUAAGUCAAAACUUUCAACAACGGAUCUCUUGGUUCUGGCAUCGAUGAAGAACGCAGCGAAAUGCGAUAAGUAAUGUGAAUUGCAGAAUUCAGUGAAUCAUCGAAUCUUUGAACGCACAUUGCGCCCAUUAGUAUUCUAGUGGGCAUGCCUGUUCGAGCGUCAUUUCAACCCUUAAGCCUAGCUUAGUGUUGGGAAUCUACUUCUUUUAUUAGUUGUAGUUCCUGAAAUACAACGGCGGAUUUGUAGUAUCCUCUGAGCGUAGUAAUUUUUUUCUCGCUUUUGUUAGGUGCUAUAACUCCCAGCCGCUAAACGGCCCAAUUUUUUGUGGUUGACCUUUGGG